UACGUAGGGGGCAAGCGUUGUCCGGAAUCAUUGGGCGUAAAGCGCUUGUAGGCGGCUGAGUAAGUCUGCUCUGAAAGCCCGGGGCUCAACCCCGGGAGGCGGGUGGAUACUGCUCAGCUCGAGUCCGGAAGAGGAGUGUGGAAUUCCUGGUGUAGCGGUGAAAUGCGCGGAUAUCGGGAGGAACACCAAUGGCGAAGGCAGCUCGCUGGGACGUGACUGACGCUGAGACGCGAAAGCGUGGGGAGCAAACAGG
rnacentral:rRNA from 1 species